GGACGAACGCUGGCGGUAUGCUUAACACAUGCAAGUCGAACGAGAAGGAAGAGCUUGCUCUUCCUGAAAGUGGCGAACGGGUGAGUAACGCGUGGGUAACCUACCCUUUGGAAAGGAAUAGCCUCGGGAAACUGGGAGUAAUGCCUUAUAAGAUACGUUUGUCGCAUGGCAUUUGUAUUAAACGCUCCGGCGCCAUAGGAUGGACCCGCGUCCCAUUAGCUAGUUGGUGAGAUAACAGCUCACCAAGGCCACGAUGGGUAACCGGUCUGAGAGGGCGAACGGUCACACUGGAACUGAGACACGGUCCAGACUCCUACGGGAGGCAGCAGUGGGGAAUAUUGCGCAAUGGGGGCAACCCUGACGCAGCAAUACCGCGUGAGUGAAGAAGGUUUUCGGAUCGUAAAGCUCUGUUAUUGGGGAAGAAAAAAAGACAGUACCCAAGAAGAAAGUUCCGGCUAACUACGUGCCAGCAGCCGCGGUAAUACGUAGGGAACAAGCGUUGUCCGGAUUUACUGGGCGUAAAGGGCACGCAGGCGGUUUUUUAAGUCAGAUGUGAAAGGCCACAGCUCAACUGUGGACAUGCAUUUGAAACUGAAAGACUUGAGUAUUGGAGAGGCAAGUGGAAUUCCUAGUGUAGCGGUGAAAUGCGUAGAUAUUAGGAGGAACACCGGUGGCGAAGGCGGCUUGCUGGACAAAUACUGACGCUGA
rnacentral:rRNA from 1 species